rnacentral:rRNA from 1 species
ACAUGCAAGUCGAACGGGUGUAGCANUACACUAGUGGCGCACGGGUGCGUAACGCGUAACCAACCUGCCCUUGACUGGGGGAUAGCCCGCCGAAAGGCGGAUUAAUACCGCAUAAACUAGCAACUCGGCAUCGAGUAACUAGUAAAGAUUUAUUGGUCAAGGAUGGGGUUGCGUGACAUUAGCUAGUUGGCGGGGUAAGGGCCCACCAAGGCGACGAUGUCUAGGGGAGCUGAGAGGCUGAUCCCCCACACUGGCACUGAGAUACGGGCCAGACUCCUACGGGAGGCAGCAGUAGGGAAUAUUGGGCAAUGGGCGAGAGCCUGACCCAGCCAUGCCGCGUGCCGGAUGAAGGCCUUCUGGGUUGUAAACGGCUUUUCUCAGGGAAGAAAACGACCAUGCGUGGUACACUGACGGUACCUGAGGAAUAAGCACCGGCUAACUCCGUGCCAGCAGCCGCGGUAAUACGGAGGGUGCAAGCGUUGUCCGGAUUUAUUGGGUUUAAAGGGUGCGUAGGUGGUUUGAUAAGUCCGGGGUGAAAGCCCACAGCUCAACUGUGGAACUGCCCUGGAUACUGUCAGACUUGAGGGUAGACGAGGUUGGCGGAAUAGAAGGUGUAGCGGUGAAAUGCAUAGAUACCUUCUAGAACCCCGAUUGCGUAGGCAGCUGACUAGGCUACACCUGACACUGAGGCACGAAAGCGUGGGGAGCGAACAGGAUUAGAUACCCUGGUAGUCCACGCCGU